GAAACUUCCAAUGGCUAUUGAAGUUAGAUGGUGUGUACUAUAAUCCGAAAACCAACAUUGUAACUGCUGCCGGUGUAAUAUGGGAUUACAUAAUGAAGGUAAACCAGAACUAUAUAUAAUCACCAUCGAUAUUUAAUAUGUGUAAUGGAAUUCUUUUUAUAUCCAUUGUUGUAGGAGAAGUUUUCUGCAUACCAAUACCGUAUAUCCGGUGAAUCAAAAUGGCAAGAGUUAUCGAUUCUUUUCCAAGAUAUUGUGGAGUAUGCUCAACCUUGCCCCGACGUUGUUGUACUAUCGUCCGAUAGCGAGGGUGAACCGAAC
rnacentral:lncRNA from 1 species